rnacentral:rRNA from 1 species
UACGAAGGGGGCUAGCGUUGUUCGGAAUCAUUGGGCGUAAAGGGCGCGUAGGCGGCUUCUCAAGCGUGCGGUGAAAGUCAGGGGCUCAACCCCUGAUCGGCCGUGCGAACUGGGGGGCUGGAGCACUGUAGAGGCAGGCGGAAUUCCGGGUGUAGCGGUGGAAUGCGUAGAGAUCCGGAAGAACACCGGUGGCGAAGGCGGCCUGCUGGGCAGUGGCUGACGCUGAGGCGCGACAGCGUGGGGAGCAAACAGG